rnacentral:lncRNA from 1 species
CAUCCAUCGGCCGGGUCAUGACAAGGAAGGGCUCUAAGCCCUCACUGAAAAAACGACAACUGGAAAAAGGGAGACAACCUCCAACUACGGCGGAACGGCACCCACUCAGUGGAAACAAGUCAUAACCCUGUGACUCAUCACUGAUAGUUUCUCCCGUAGAACACAACAAAAACAGACAAGUCCUAAAAACUGUUCAUACACGGUGGAAACCACCAGAACAAACUAUGGAAACCACCGUAACCAGAACAACCUUAACUAAGCAUGGAAGUUUACAAUUUUUAACAGAAACUAAAGCAAUCAAAACAGAGAAAACAAACAAAGAAUGCAGAGAAGUACAAUCUUGUUGUGUGUUGAGGAAGAACUGGGCUCGGAAGUGAAAAGUUGAGGGACUAAAAUGCACUGAAAUUGUCAAG